UACGUAGGGGCAAGCGUUGUCCGGAUUUAUUGGCGUAAAGAGCGUGUAGGCGGCCAGACAAGUCUGCUGUGAAACUCGAGGCUCAACCUCGAGCUGUCGGUGGAAACUGUCUGGCUAGAGUCCGGAAGAGGAGAGUGGAAUUCCUGGUGUAGCGGUGAAUGCGCAGAUAUCAGGAAGAACACCUAUGGCGAAGGCAGCUCUCUGGGACGGUACUGACGCUGAGACGCGAAAGCGUGGGGAGCGAACAGG
rnacentral:rRNA from 1 species